rnacentral:rRNA from 1 species
UACGUAGGGGGCGAGCGUUGUCCGGAGUUACUGGGCGUAAAGCGCUUGUAGGCGGUCCACCAAGUUUGGGGUGACAGUUGCCGACUUAAUCGGCAAAGUGCCUCAAAGACUGGCGGACUUGAGGGCCACAGAGGGACAUGGAACUCCAGGUGUAGUGGUGAAAUGCGUAGAUAUCUGGAGGAACACCUGUGGCGAAAGCGGCUCACUGGACCGCAACUGACGCUGAGGCGCGAAAGCUAGGGGAGCAAACAGG